GCGAUAGUGGUCUAGUGGCUAUGACGUUGCAUUCCCAAUGCUGAGAUCCGGGUUCGAUUCCCGGCUGUCGCA
rnacentral:tRNA from 1 species